rnacentral:tRNA from 1 species
ACCUGACUGGCUCAGUUGGUGGAGCAUGUGGCUCUUGAUCGCAGGAUUGUGAGCUCAAACCUCACAUUGGGUC